rnacentral:rRNA from 1 species
AUUGAACGCUGGCGGCAGGCCUAACACAUGCAAGUCGAGCGAGCGGCGGACGGGUGAGGAAUGUAUGGGGACUGCCCGAGAGAGGGGGAUAACUACUGGAAAAGGUAUCGAAUACCGCAUAAUAGCGGAGAAACCACAUGGGAUUAGCUAGUAGGUGAGGUAAUGGCUCACCUAGGCGACGAUCCCUAGCUGGUCUGAGAGGAUGAUCAGCCACACUUGGACUGAGACACGGCCCAUCCUCCUACGGAGGCAGCAGUGGGGAUUAUUGCACAAUGGGCGCAAGCCUGAUGCAGCCAUGCCGCGUGUAUGAUGCAGGCCUUCGGGUUGUAAAGUCCUUUUGGCAGAGAGGCGGUAUCUGCAGAAUACGCACCGGCUAACUACGUGCCAGCAGCCGCGGUAAUUC